rnacentral:rRNA from 1 species
CGUAGGGUGCGAGCGUUAAUCGGAAUUACUGGGCGUAAAGCGUGCGCAGGCGGUUUCGUAAGACGGAUGUGAAAUCCCCGGGCUUAACCUGGGAACUGCAUUCGUGACUGCGAGGCUAGAGUGUGUCAGAGGGAGGUGGAAUUCCGCGUGUAGCAGUGAAAUGCGUAGAGAUGCGGAGGAACACCGAUGGCGAAGGCAGCCUCCUGGGGAUAACACUGACGCUCAUGCACGAAAGCGUGGGAGCAAACAGGAUU